rnacentral:misc_RNA from 1 species
AUUGCAUUCUGGGUAGGGAAUUCCCAAAUAAGCUUGCCACAUGGACACAGAUGAUUGGCACCUGUCUUCUUCAAACACUGUUAUACGAUGUAUAAGGUAGCAUACAGCCAAGUUUUAGUGGUUAUACUGCUCCUAGGACUUUAUUCCGCAUUAGGACAAGAUGGCGGACAGACAACUGAUGGAGGAAGGCAGAAGAAAGUCAUCAAAGGAAAAACUGUCCAAGAAAUGGCUGCAAAAUCUAAUUUGCCAGAGUGGGAAGUGUAUAAGCGCCUGUUCAUGCAGCAACGUAAAGAACAAUUGGAUGCUGUGAAGAGCAUACUACAGAUGGGCAGUUAUGAAAAGCAAUAUAAAAUGAUUGAGAUGUUAUUCGAAAAAAUAUUUGAUGUCGUAGAGAAGAAAAGAGUUUUACUGAUUGAGAAUGGUUUUCUUCCGACGGAUGAAUUUCCAAAAGAUGAAUCUAUAAGAGAAGCAUUUUCAAUGGUGGCUGAAGCAACAGCCUUCUUUGGUGAUAUUUUAUUGAGACUUCCCGACAUAUCGCACAAAAUCUACGAACGUCAUAAAGAAUGGCAAGUCAGCCUUGGAUGGUGUAUCACAUAUCUAAACCAAAGUGAUAUAUUUUCAAUCGACUCUGAUCAAAAACUCAACUUACUUAGUUUAGUAGCUCAAGAAUUGCAGCUUGUAGAAAGAGACCCAAAUUAUAUAAAUCCAUACAAGACAGAAGUAAAUGAGAUGAUUGAAGAGGCCAAAAAGCAACAACAAAUGGAAGAAAAAGAAAAAAAGAAGAAAAAGAAGAAAGAAAAGAGAAAAGGCCCACGAUUAACUGGCGUUAGAAAUGAAUUGUAGAUUAUUUUUGUAUAGGGGGUCACCUCAAAAGUUCCGCACUAAAUUCUCCACAUAAUCCAUUGCUUUAAGAUGUUUUGUUAAAAAUGCUUCAUUCAGGUAUGAAAUUUGUACUGUUUGGUUAACAAAACUGCCUCUUAUAACCCUUCCACUAACUGAUUAUGUGUUGAAUUUGGAAUUGAACUGAUGAUAUGACCCCUAACCUACCUAGGAUACAGCAUUUUAUUGUACCGUUACUAAGGUAACCUUGAUCACCAUGGAUAUGAAGGAAUAGAUAGGAAUCUAUAUGAAACUGGUCUUGCCCAUUUUAGUUUUGUUUAUCCAAUUACAAAUCUGAAGUUUAUCUAAGAUCAGAAAAAAAUACCAUGAUAAAAUCUUUUUUAAUUCUCUGUGGCUUGUUCUAGAGUUCCUCUAAAUCUGCAACACAUGUUUAACGUAAAAUUGUAAAAUCAAUCGAAGCAUCAUCUAAGUAGUUACAAAUCAAUAGAAUAACACAUUCAUUGAAACAAGCUCUUUUCUGAGUGGGACCACUUUCGAGCCUCGAUUUAUUGUUCAUGAGCGAUAAUACCUUAAUAAAAUCAUGUACAUUUUAAUCCAUUUGAAAAAACAAUAUGGCCAUCUAAAUUAAAUGGCAACAUUCAAAUGUGACAAUUUUUUACUCACAUAUUCCAGUAUUCAUGACAAACAUACUCACAUUGCAAAAAUGAAACCACAGAUAGCCAUCUAUUACAUUGUAUUUCCUCUGCUUUAAAACAUAAUUUUUGAGAUGACUGAACAAAUAAUCACAGAGAUUUCACUCUGGAGAUUUCCCCUUUUGAGUAAAUAAGGGCAGGACCAUUGAUUCAAUGGAAGAAUCCUAUCCAUUUCUUCAAGUCCAUGAUAUCACUAAAAGCGCUAUCUGCUUACUUUUCAUUUGAAAGAUGAUUUACCAAGUUUUAUUCAUGUAUUGUCACACAUGGGAUACAAUGUACUGUACGAUUAUUGUAGAUCAGUGUUGACAUUUAUACAAUUGUAUAGUCUCCAAUAUUUUGUGGACGGUAUCUGGUGGCUGGUGUUCAGCGAUUGGCAUCUGUAACAAAUAGCAGG